rnacentral:rRNA from 1 species
GACGAACGCUGGCGGCGUGCUUAACACAUGCAAGUCGAACGGAAGGACGCUGAUUUUGUGGGGUGCUCGAGUGCGGAACGGGGGAGAAACACGUGAGUAAACUGCCCUUGACUUUGGGAUAUCUUCAGGAGACUGGGGCUCAUACCGGAUAGGAGCUCCUGAUGCGUGGUGUGGAUUGGAGAGUUUCGGCGGUUGGGGAUGGACUGGCGGGUUAUCAGCUUGAUGGUGGGGUAGUUGCUGACAAAGGCUUUGAAGGGUAGCCGGCCUGGGAGCGGGACCGGCCACAUUGGGACUGAGAUACGGCGCAGUCUCGUACGGGAGGCAGCAGUGGGGAAUAUUGCAGAAUGGGCGGAAGUCUGAUGCAGCAACGCCGCGAGCGGGAUGCCCGCCUUCGGGUGGUAAACCGCUUUCGCCUGUGACGAAGCGUGAGUGACGGUAAUGGGUAAAGAAGCACCGGCUAACUACGUG